GAAGAAGUCACUCUGGGUUGCGGUGUAGAAGUACGCGCGUUCCUGCUGACAUUUCUCCGUGCAAUGCUGUGCACUGCAUGCCACUUUAUAAAAACACCCACCACUUUGCACAAGAAGGUGACUCGGUUUGGAACACGCAUCGAGCACAAGUGUUCGGCCCAUAAUUCAAGAAUAGCCAUCGAAUCGUUAUCAAUGCAACAAGAGUGCUCCUGCUCACACCUCCUACUGGUUCCAAAGUUUCAACGAUGACUGAACUGCAGCAGCAGUCGGGCUUCCACACACUAUUCAACACCCAAUACUUUCAGACCGUCGUCGGUGGACUCAACAUGGUCGAAGUGGUAGGGAACGUGAAAGUGACCCCUUUUAUAAUCAUGCCCGAGCUUUGUAGCACAAAACUCUGCCUAUAUUGCGUUUGUCACACAAUAAUUAAUAGAGA